rnacentral:rRNA from 1 species
AACGAACGCUGGCGGCAUGCCUAACACAUGCAAGUCGAACGAGACCUUCGGGUCUAGUGGCGCACGGGUGCGUAACGCGUGGGAACCUGCCUUUAGGUUCGGAAUAACAGUGAGAAAUUACUGCUAAUACCGGAUAAUGUCUUCGGACCAAAGAUUUAUCGCCUUUAGAUGGGCCCGCGUAGGAUUAGCUAGUUGGUGGGGUAAAGGCCUACCAAGGCGACGAUCCUUAGCUGGUCUGAGAGGAUGAUCAGCCACACUGGGACUGAGACACGGCCCAGACUCCUACGGGAGGCAGCAGUGGGGAAUAUUGGACAAUGGGCGAAAGCCUGAUCCAGCAAUGCCGCGUGAGUGAUGAAGGCCUCAGGGUUGUAAAGCUCUUUUACCAGGGAUGAUAAUGACGGUACCUGAAGAAUAAGCACCGGCUAACUACGUGCCAGCCGCCGCAGUAA